GAUUUCUGGUACGGUGCGCCUGACCCACAGUCGAAAGGCUCGUGAAGUGUCGGUGUGCGUCUGCCAUCCUUUGAGGAAGCUUAUCUCACUUCAGUGGGAGGUAGGUGAUCUCAAUCUUUUACUUUGAAAAAAUUAGAGUGUUUAAAGCAGGCUUGCGCCUUGAAUACAUUAGCAUGGAAUAAUAAUUUAGGACUUUUUUCCUAUUUUGUUGGUUUUAAGGAAUUAAGUAAUGAUUGAUAGGGAUAGUUGGGGGUGCUAGUAUUCAUCGGCCAGAGGUGAAAUUCUUGGAUUCGAUGAAGACUAACUUAUGCGAAAGCAUU
rnacentral:rRNA from 1 species